AAAAUCUAGUAAUCUUUCCGAUCAAGAUUCAUUUCCACUCACGUUGAAGAAAGAGUCGCAGAUUUCACGGAAAGAGAGAGCAAGAUUGUAUCCGUGACGGCGGAGGAGACGCGCCGCCGUGGAUUUCUUCUUACGCGGUGGAGGAGAGUACACGUGGAGGAGUACUAUGACGUCACCUUGACGGAGGAGGUUGUGAAGUGCCCAUUGUAACGCCGUCCUCGCCGCUUGUUUAUCUUCUACGACCACCACAAUCCUCCGUACAUCUUCCAUUUAUUUAUUCUCUCUUUCUCUUUCUUUUUCUCGAGAAUUGGGUUUAGGUUUAGUGUCGUAAUUCUUGUGACUCACUCUCUCUCUCUCUCUCAAUAUGUG